AAGAAGUGAUGUAUGAUGGAUCUACCUUGCUUUUCUACCAUGGUGCGUUAAGUCUGUAAAUUUACCCCAGUGUCUAAUUUCCAUUCCUCCCAUUUACAGGUUAAUGAUGAAGUAAAUAGAUAGGAAAGGAACAGUAAAAAUCCAUGGAAAAUAAUGGUUGAUGUGAAGGUGCCCUUAGCAUAUUGUGGAUGAUCCAUAUGCAAACGAUUCAACAAGCAUGGGGAUGACAAUUCCAAUAUUCCAUCCUUCUAAUCUCAAAGUAACCAAUCCCAACAUUAAUAGACCCAACUCCAACCAUAUCAAGCUCUUUGGCCAUUACCUGGUCUUUCUUUCCAACAAAUGAAGCCUGAUUAUGUUCUAAAUAGUCAAAAUCCAUAUAAUUGAAGCCACGUGCUCUUGAUCAGCUCCGUAUAAGGAAUCCCUACGUAUCCCAAGCCAUGUUCAGACAAAGAAAUAUGUUGAAGUUAUGGAUGCAUUCUCUUUUUGAGGAUGUACGUUGACUAUUUUCAAUAUUGGGAUGGACUUUUGGAUUAAACUGAUCAUUGAAUGAAGAAUCACAGAAGCAUAUCACUUUAAUUAUUUGUCUCCCAAGGAAGAAAUGUGUACCCUCCGCUACUACUUAUCACAUGGUGAGAGGGAUCUAAUCCCAAAGAUGCUCCUUAUCAUUCCAAUAAGCCAAUAAAUAACGGAGAAAAAACUUGAACACUUAAAUAUCAAGUCCUUCAAUUUUUUUAUAUGUAAUAAGUUGUUUUUGAACACUUAAAUAUCAAGU